UACGGGGGGGGCAAGCGUUGUUCGGAAUUACUGGGCGUAAAGGGCUCGUAGGCUGCCAACUAAGUCAGACGUGAAAUCCCUCGGCUUAACCGAGGAACUGCCUGUCAGACUGGAAGGCUUGAGACCGGGAGAGGUGAGUGGAAUUCCCAGUGUAGCGGUGAAAUGCGUAGAUAUUGGGAGGAACACCAGUGGCGAAGGCGGCUCACUGGACCGGUACUGACGCUGAGGCGCGAAAGCGUGGGGAGCAAACAGG
rnacentral:rRNA from 1 species